GGCGAGCGUUUCCCGGAANGAUNGGGCGNAAAGGGUGCGNAGGNGGCCCGUUAAGUCUGGAGUCAAAGCCGGCAGCUCAACUGUCGUACGCUUUGGAAACNGGCGGGCUGGAGNGCAGAAGAGGGCGAUGGAACUCCAUGUGUAGCGGUAAAANGCGUAGAUANAUGGAAGAACACCAGUGGCGAAGGCGGUCGCCUGGUCUGCAACUGNCGCUGAAGCACGAAAGCGUGGGGAGCAAAUAGGAUUAGAUACCCUAGUAGUCCACGCCGUAAACGAUGAGAACUAAGUGUUUGGGGGAAUAACUCAGUGCUGCAGUUAACGCAAUAAGUUCUCCGCCUGGGGAGUACGUUCGCAAGAAUGAAACUCAAAGGAAUUGAC
rnacentral:rRNA from 1 species